GAUGAACGCUGGCGGCGUGCCUAAUACAUGCAAGUCGAGCGAACAGACGAGGAGCUUGCUCCUCUGACGUUAGCGGCGGACGGGUGAGUAACACGUGGAUAACCUACCUAUAAGACUGGGAUAACUUCGGGAAACCGGAGCUAAUACCGGAUAAUAUAUUGAACCGCAUGGUUCAAUAGUGAAAGACGGUUUUGCUGUCACUUAUAGAUGGAUCCGCGCCGCAUUAGCUAGUUGGUAAGGUAACGGCUUACCAAGGCAACGAUGCGUAGCCGACCUGAGAGGGGGAUCAGCCACACUGGAACUGAGACGCGGUCCAGACUCCUACGGUAGGCAGCAGUAGGGAAUCUUCCGCAAUGGACGAAAGCCUGACGGAGCAACGCCGCGUGAGUGAUGAAGGUCUUCGGAUCGUAAAACUCUGUUAUUAGGGAAGAACAAAUGUGUAAGUAACUGUGCACGUCUUGACGGUACCUAAUCAGAAAGCCACGGCUAACUACGUG
rnacentral:rRNA from 1 species